rnacentral:rRNA from 1 species
AGCAGUAGCCGCGGUAAUACGUAGGUCCCGAGCGUUGUCCGGAUUUAUUGGGCGUAAAGCGAGCGCGGGCGGUUAGAUAAGUCUGAAGUUAAAGGCUGUGGCUUAACCAUAGUACGCUUUGGAAACUGUUUAACUUGAGUGCAAGAGGGGAGAGUGGAAUUCCAUGUGUAGCGGUGAAAUGCGUAGAUAUAUGGAGGAACACCGGUGACGAAAGCGGCUCUCUGGCUUGUAACUGACGCUGAGGCUCGAAAGCGUGGGGAGCAAACAGGAUUAGAUACCCCGUAGUCCCUGUCUCUUAUACAC